GAGGCUUAACCCACUGAGCCACCCAGGUGCCCCUUUUAAAGACUUUUUAAAAGGAAAAGUGGUGUCUUCUACAGAUAUGUGCCCCCGUAUGGGAGGGUGAAAAGUCCAAGAAACUCUAUUGGAAGAGAAAAAAGAAGAUAAGGGGGUGUGGGGAUGGGUACCCAAGAUAUUCUAUUCAGAGAGAAAGCACAAAUAGGUAUGGAACAAAAAACAGCAUGCAAGCAUAUAGGCAGUUGAUAUUACCAGAACAAAAAGAAUGAUGUAGGGACAUAAAAUGGGUCAGGUCUUAAGGACCUCAUACGCCAUACUAAGGAGUCUGGACUUGACUCCACAGGUCAAAGAUUCUUAACCCAUACCCUAUGGUUGAGCUUCGGAGGACACCAAAAGCAAAAGUGCCAUAAUCAUGUUAGUUCCAAAUAGAGGUCUCUGAUAGCAAUGUGGCAGAUAAAUCUGAUGAGGUCAAGAUUGAAUCAAGACCUCUAAGUCUUCUGCAAAAUUAUAAGCAAGAAAUGAUAAGGAAUGAACUGAUUAAGUGGAUGUUUAAAUGGUAAAAAUUAAAAAGAUAAUUACUUGGGCAGGAGUAGGAUAUAGAAGUCCCACUAUUUCUGACUUGAUGAUAGCAUCAUUAACUAAAGUAGGAGGGAAAAAAUAGGUCCUGGAGACAAGAAGGAAUGUGGUUAGUCGUGGACAUACCAAGUUAGAGAGGCCUACAGGAUAUUCAAGUAGAUAUGUCAAGCAACUGGAUAUAGCUGAAGCCCAAAGGCCAAUCUGGAAGAUACAGAUUUGGAAGUCAGCAGCAGGCAUUAAUAGCUGACAUCUACUGAGUGCUUAUUAUAUGCCAAAGAAAUACUGAAUUUGAAUUAUCUCAUUUGAUCUUUAACCUAAUCUCUUAAAUUAGGAACUGUUAUUUUUUAAUCCCCAUUAGACAGAGGUAAACUGAGGAGUUAAGUAAUUAGCCUUCUGCAAUAUGGCGAGAAUGGUAGAGUUGGGAUCCCAACACUAAGCACUUAACUAUUUUCAUGUUAAAACCAUUGAGUACCUGGAAUAAUGUAGGAAGAACAUACAGGAAAAAAAAAAAAAAACAAAAAACAAAACAGAACGAAGGCAAUGGUCUAA